UACGUAGGGUGCAAGCGUUAAUCGGAAUUACUGGGCGUAAAGCGUGCGCAGGCGGCUUUGCAAGACAGAUGUGAAAUCCCCGGGCUCAACCUGGGAACUGCAUUUGUGACUGCAUGGCUGGAGUGCGGCAGAGGGGGAUGGAAUUCCGCGUGUAGCAGUGAAAUGCGUAGAGAUGCGGCGGAACACCGAUGGCGAAGGCAGCCCCCUGGGCUGAGAUUGACGCUCAGGCACGAAAGCGUGGGGAGCAAACAGG
rnacentral:rRNA from 1 species